ACGAGCCUAGUAACAAUCUCCGCAGUUCUCGCACGUCUUCUGGCAACGACACUCGUCCCUUCUGCAGUACUCAGGAUGUCUGAUGAACAACCCGCCGCCGCUCCUGAGGCCGAGGUGCCCCCUCCCUGCCCCGAAACACAAGCAGCCCUUAGCUUAUGCCUAAAGGAGAACGGAGAGGCAAACUGCGCGGCGUUAAUGGAAGCGCAUCAGGAAUGUCUCAAGAAACUCGGUCUUCAGGCGUGAGAAGAUUUCCGGCGCAGCAGAUGACCUCAGGUAUCAACAACGCAGCGAGGGUUAAGAGCGAGCAAUAAAAUUGUCAAACAACGAUGAUCCUCAAAACCAAGUAAUGAAUUAGUAAUCGUCUUAGUCACCAAAUGCUUAUUCUAAAAUCAAAACAUGAAUUUCUCUUAGAUAGAGAUGCAUUUCCGACCACUAUUGAAGACCAGUCGAUUCAGUGUUGUGAUGUCAUAUUGUAUAGCUAGGUUAGCGGUAUGUUUAUAUGAACACAGUCGCUUGUGAAUAAAUAUGAAAAGAUA